GUGAUCUGUAUGUGAUAGAGACAGUCCAGACGAGCAUGGUGGCCGCAUCGUGGGGCUAAGAUGUCUUACGGUAAUCUGUGAGAUGUCUCUUACUGAGUCUGUGCACAUGAUGGUCUGUGCUUGUCUUCGUGUGAGCAUGGUAUUAUCCAUAGUCCUCAAUCCCUGGUGAAGUGGCAACAAAAAUGUUUUAUAUCUCCGGCGGAGUGAGGUAACGAUCCCUGCGCCCCUAGUAGGGUCUCAGGCCUUGGGCCUCUGAGCAUAGCAGUCCGGUUCGCCUCACCCGAUGCCUUUCCUAGGGACUUUGCCUGCGUGGCAGGGCCUGCAUCCCAUUGGUGGCCCUUCCACCCGC